AAGUCGUAACAAGGUUUCCGUAGGUGAGUGGACAAGAGUUCCCUUUGCGCUGCGCGUUUCCCCUGCUAACCUUUGUGACCUAGGUGAACCUGCGGAAGGAUCAUUAACGAGAGAGGGUCCUCCGGGGCCCGACCCUCCCACCCUGUGUGUACGUACCUCUGUUGCUUCGGCGGGCCCGUGGGUCCCAGCUGGGAUUCACCGUCGGCCUCGGCCGGUCCGCGCCCGCCAGGAGCCCCCCAUCACACCCGAUUUUGCCAGUGGCGUCUGAGUGCAACGCAAUGACUAAAACUUUCAACAACG
rnacentral:misc_RNA from 1 species